AAAACGACUCUCGGCAACGGAUAUCUCGGCUCUCGCAUCGAUGAAGAACGUAGCGAAAUGCGAUACUUGGUGUGAAUUGCAGAAUCCCGUGAACCAUCGAGUCUUUGAACGCAAGUUGCCCCCAAGCCUUUAGGCCGAGGGCACGUCUGCCUGGGUGUCACGC
rnacentral:rRNA from 1 species